rnacentral:misc_RNA from 1 species
GAGAAUGUGUGUACCUUGCGCGUUCGGAUGCCUAUUUCCUCGGACUUAUCGAACCCUCGCAACUUCAUUACGAAGAUUACCAGAUAUGAGAAGGUUGUCGACAUCCCAAACUCGAUGACGAUCUUGGACGAACUCCUCCCGAUCUCGAUCGAAAUGGCGAAAAGAAACCUCACUGGAAUAUGGAACUUCACUAACCCGGGAGUGGUGAGCCAUAAUGAGAUCUUGGAGAUGUACAAGCAAUUCAUCGACCCCAAUUUCACAUGGAAGAAUUUCACUCUAGAGGAGCAAGCCAAAGUGAUCG